CAGGCGAAUCGAAUUAGUCAUUAAUGUGUCGAAGACAAAGUACAUGAUGGCAAAGGGCUCCAGGGAGGAAUCACCGCACCCGCCACCCCGAAUUCAUAUCGACGGUGAUGAAAUCGAGGCGGUUGAAGAAUUCGUGUACUUGGGCUCACUGGUGACCGCCGACAACGACACCAGCAGAGAAAUUCAGAGGCGCGUUGUGGCUGGAAAUCGUGCUUACUUUGGACUCCGCAGAACUCUACGAUCGAAUAAAGUUCGCCGUAACACGAAUUCAACUAUGUAUCUACAAAACGCUUAUUAGACCGGUCGUCCUCUAUGGGCACGAAACAUGGACCCUACGUGCAGAGGACCAACGCGCCCUUGGAGUUUGUAACUGCCGACUAGCUCAGUAGGGGAGCCUUCCUGAGAUUCCCUGAAACAACACCUCAGGGUCGGCAUGCUUCGCGGGCAGGAUAUAUUCGCACUGUCGUACAGAAAAAACUCACGUCACUUAACAUUUUUACACAUUUAUUCCCGGACUUUCCGGCCUCUUCUUCUCCCUGCUCUUUCCCACAUUCUUAAUCUACUCUAACCUGUCUUUUCAUUUAUUAGGGGCCCCUUCUUCUACCUUCCACCUUUCUCCACCACACAGUGUACUCCUCCAGGUCUUCAACGAUGGCGAUGUGCACGGCUAGUGUCUGUCGGUUCUUCUGUGGCCUUACGGGGUGGCGAAGCAACGCGAUGGUGGCAUUUACAGGCCCUUCUGGUCUUCCGGCGGCCGAGUAAGUUGACGGACUCGGUCAGCUGCGGAACUCUCUGGGUCUUCUCAAUGAAGGGGGGGGGGGGGGGCACUUGAACUCCUACAGAACCGAAGUUCUGACCAAAACAGCGGGGUUCUAUGGAGCCGGAUUGAACUAAUAGAACCAUGUAGGUUACUGAAGGAAAACCAAUUACCUGCUGUCCUUUCUCCAUUUCUAUUCUUUCUUUUUCCACAUCUUCACUCUUCCUUCACAGGUACAGCACUUCAAUAAAAUAGGAAAGUUACUGCUUCAACCAUUUCGGUUGGUGGUUCUUUUCCGACUCUUAAUCAUUAUGGAGUUCGACGUAGCUAGGUCACUGGCCUUCAUUCUUCGGGCAGUGACCCGAGACAUUGUGCUGCAGUUAUUGUGCCCGUUAGCCCGCUCGUAUGUAGGAUCUCCUGCCAUAUUUUUAAGCAUCGCCACCCCUUUCAGAGUACCAAAAGGACUCCGUUUUCCCUCUGGUGGUGGGUUUUGAAAGUUGCGUGGAUGGUGGCGUAGUACGGUAGUCUACUAAACUAUGGACUAAUAGUAACUGACGGAGAAAACUGCACAACUCUUACGAAUACUACCUGCACUAUUUUAUAUUAAACACGAUAUAAAAUUUACACAAAAUCUCAAAAACACUUCACACUGAACUGCGAACACUUACAAGUUUUCGAACGGAAGGUGUUGCGUACCAUCUACGGCGGAGUGCAGAUGGAAGACGGGACGUGGAGAAGGCGAAUGAACCACGAGCUGCAUCAGCUGCUGGGAGAACCAACCAUCGUCCAUACCGCGAAAAUCGGGAGGCUACGGUGGGCGGGUCACGUCAUCAGGAUGUCGGAUAGCAACCCGACUAAAAUGGUUCUCGAGAGUCAUCCGACCGGUACAAGAAGACGUGGAGCGCAGCGAGCUAGGUGGGUCGACCAAGUGGAGGACGAUCUGCGGACCCUACGCAGAGUGCGGAACUGGAGACAAAUAGCCAUGGACCGAGUGGAAUGGAGUCGGCUACUAUGUACAGCAGAGGCCACCCCGGCCUUUGCCUGAUCGGUCGGUCCGUCGUUAUCAUGUGAAAAUAUUGUAAAAGAAGUAUAAUUUCCUUGAAAUAAUAAAAACAAAUAUUUGUUUCUCGAAUUCUGUUUCCGUCUAAUCCCCGUCUAUUUUGGGCACAACCUGAGUUCAGUUGGAGUCUAGUGUUGUUUUUUUUUAACGAUAAAUCAGUGAAAGCGGGGGUAGACGCGCGAUAGGAUUUUUUUCGCAUGCUCGCAUGUCGCGUGAAGAAGAGAUCGGUUUGGCUGGUGGUUAUGAAUAUUAAUCCGUUGUCAGUUAACCAUAGGUGACUCCUAGAUGGACAACGUACCCUACCCAGCCAACAAAUUGAUUCACAUAACUCUGCUACAACUGUGCUAAACGGUUGUAAAAAUUCAAGCAAAGUGUGGAAUUUAUGUUGAUUUUCUGCGCAAAUUUCUUUAAUUAUGUUGGUAUCAAGCUGUGCAGAAGCUGAAUGCAGAAAUCGUUCGGGGAACGAGAGAAACACCAAUGAAAUCCUAAGUUAUUCGCGGAUACUUAAAAGCUCUAGACGAGAUAUCAAGAAGAGAUUUGCUUGGAAAUCUUUUAACAAUUCGUUCUAAAAUUCCUCUUUCAAAAUUUUUGCCGAUAUACAUCCUUGAAAUCCUUUGCGGUUUCUUACUAAUUUUCUUCUCGUGAUUUCUCCUGGAGUUCCUCGAUGAAUUUAUAUCUUAAUUUAAUUUAAACAUUUUUUGUUAAACUUUACCCAGGGGGUUAUUCAUAUUGAUUUCCAAAGUUCCUCUGGGUUUCUCUUUAGGGGAUUUCCGAAAUUUCUAAUUCCUAAGAGAACUGCCAUGGAAAUUUCUUGAAGAAAUCGCAACAGGAAAUCAGGUAGAAACCGUGCAAGAAUCUCUGAGAGCAUUACCGGGAAAGCUUCUUUAAAAAAAAAACCGUUAGCUCAAUGGAAAACUUUUCUCGUAGAAGAAAAAAAAAAUGGGAUAAAUCGGGCGGAAAUCUUCGGGUCAAACUCCGGGGCAGGUAACCCGGAGCAUCCUCUGAACGAAAUGACGCGAUAUACUCCUGCCGCGAAAAACUCCAGGAGAAAUCCUGGAAGGAUUGUCAGUCAUAAUAAAAGGAUGGUGAAGAACUUCUCGAAAGAAAUCUUGGAAAAAUUCCGGUACAAAUGUGGAAGAACUUCCGGGAGGAAUUCAAAGUGGAAUACAGUAAUGGGGGAUCUGUAAUUGACUAUUAUGGUGAAGUUAAUUGCUAUCCGAGAUCUAACUCUAUUUACCUAGUAAAAGAUUUUUACAACUUUAUUCAGCCUCAGAAUCAUGAAGGUUAAUAUGCUGAGAAUUUUGUUCCCUUAGAAUGCUUGUUCGGUGGUUUAUCGGCUCCAUUCCGGCAUUAAGGAUAUAAAAUGUCGAUUUUUUUUUAAAUUAUGUUUAGCAUAACUAUAUAGUUUCUAGUUUGAAUUUAGUUAACUUAGAUUGACGAAAGUCUUUUCAGAACCCAUUCAAAAAUAUUUGCUGUUGGAAUUCUUCCAGGGAUUAAAAACCCUUAGGGAACUCGUGGAGGGAUUCCUCCAGAAAUUCUUGCUGCGAUUCCUUCUAGAAUUUCUGCUUCGUUUCUUGUAGGUAUUUUUGCUGGUGUUUUUCCAAGAACUCCGCUGAAAAUUCUUCCGAUCCAUUCAAGAUGUUUCCCCAAAACAUUUUUUUAUGCAUUUCUCCUGUGAUUCCUCCAGAACAUUUUUUUUGGGAUUUUUUCGGGAACUCCAGCUGGGAUUCCUCCAGAAAUUCUUUCUGAUAUUCCUGCAGGACUUUUUCCAAAAAUGUCUACGUGAACUGCUACAACGACGUAUCCAGGGUUUUCUCUAAGGAUUCCUUCAAUAAUUCCUCCUAGAAUUACUACAUGGUUCCUCCAAGGAUGCCUCGAGGGAUUUCUUCGGAGAUUGCAGAUAGGAUUCAUUCAGAAAUUAAUAAAGGAUUUUAUCCGGAGGUCCUGUAAAGGUUUUUGCAGAAUCUACUUAUGGGAUUCUUUCACGAAUGCCUUGAGGGAUACGUCCCGUAAUUCUUCGGGUAAUUUUUCCAGGAAUUCCCCCAAAAAUGUUUCCAAAAUUAUCCCUCCCCAGUCGCUGCUACUGUAUGUAGCGAGCUCAGAACAAUUUUUCAUGAACAAAAAAAUGAU